rnacentral:lncRNA from 1 species
AUGGGAAAAGGCAGGAAUGGGAAGGGAAGGGAUUGGGAAGGGGAGGGAAACGGGACGCGCCCCCGCGGCUCCGCCACUCAGGGAGCAGAAAAGGGGCGACAGCAAAGGCGGCGUCGAGCGCAAUCCCCACCCCCCCACUCCCUUUCCCCAUCCCACCCCCCUCCCCCAUCCCAGCCCCUGUUGGCCCCAGGCCAGGCCGGAGCGCUUCCGAGGAAUGACAUCACACAGCUGGAGCUCGGAGGAAUCGAUCCUGCCCACCAGGCUUGGAUCGUGCAACGCAGACAAACUGGUGCCAACGUGCGAGACCGCCGCCGUCGCCGCCGCCGCCGCCGCCGCCGCCGCCGCCGUCUCCCCCGCUGCAGCCGGCCCUGCCGUUCUCGCCGCCGGGAGCCGCAGGAUCCGAAUCCGGAGCCCGCUCUCCGCCGAGACCACCGGGGCGGGGUGGGGGUGGGGGGGAAGGAGGAGGAGGAGGAGGAGGAGGAGGAGAGGCAGCCCCGGGACAGCUGCGCGGGCCCGGGAGCACCGAGAAGGGCUCGGCCCCAUUUAAGAGGGAGAGAGAGGGGAACGAGGAGGAGGACGAGCGGCAGCUGCAGAAGCUGCAGAAGGUGCAGCAGCUGCAGCAGCUGCGGCUGCCCCCGACACCCGCGGCGACCACCGCAGCGGAGCAGGAGCGAGCAGCCAGCUCCGGCCGGCCAGCGGCAGCCAAGGUCCAGCGGCAGCGAAGGUCCAGCGGCAGCCAAGGGUCCAGCGGCAGCAAAGGGUCCAGCGGCAGCAAAGGGUCCAGCGGCGAGGAGUCGCACCCUCGCAGCACGCUUCGCGGUGCCUCGCAGCCGCCCCGACCCCCUGGAAUAUACGUCGCCCGGCCCCCUCCCCCUCCCCGCCCCGUCGAGCGGCCAACUUUUCCGGGGAGGGGGCCGGGGAGGGGGAGAGCCUGUCGGCUUCAUGCUGGUCGCCUCCACCUCCCCGCCGCCUCGGUGAAGCCAAGGGGGACCCCGGGGGGUGGGGGGGACGCCCGGGUGGGCGAGGAUGGAGCGGGGCCCCGGCCUGGGGGUGACCCUGUGGGCCUUGCUGGCCCUGCUGGGGCUGCGGGCCGGUCCCGGGGGGUGUCAGCACUACCUGCACAUCCGCCCGGCCCCCAGCGACAACCUGCCCCUGGUGGACCUCAUCGAGCACCCGGACCCCGUCUUUGACCCCAAGGAGAAGGACCUCAACGAGACGCUGCUGCGCUCGCUGCUGGGCGCUCACUACGACCCGGGCUUCAUGGCCUCGACGCCCCCGGAGGACCGGCCGGCCGGGGGAGGAGGGGCGGCCGCAGGAGGAGGUGCAGGAGGAGGUGGUGGAGAGGACUUGACCGAGCUGGACCAGCUGCUGCGCCAGCGGCCGUCGGGGGUCAUGCCCAGCGAGAUCAAAGGCCUGGAGUUCUCCGACGGGCCGCCCUCCGGCAAGAAACACCGGCUGAGCAAGAAGCUGCGGAGGAAACUGCAGCUGUGGCUGUGGUCGCAGACCUUCUGUCCGGUCCUCUACUCGUGGAACGACCUGGGCAGCCGCUUCUGGCCCCGCUACGUCAAAGUGGGCAGCUGCUUCAGCCGAAGGUCGUGCUCCUUCCCCGAGGGCAUGGUCUGCAAGCCGUCCAAGUCCGUGCACCUCACUGUGCUCAGGUGGCGAUGCCAACGCCGGGGGGGCCAGCGCUGCGCCUGGAUCCCCAUCCAGUACCCCAUCAUAUCGGAGUGCAAAUGCUCCUGCUAAGGGCGCCUCGCCCCCUUCCACGCCCACCCAGUCCGCCCCCUCCCCACCCCCCCAAAAGCCCAACUCCGUCCCCUCUCCCCGCCGCAGGACAUAACUUUAGGGUUCAUGUUAUGCACUGUACCUGUAGGAAUGUAUAUGUGUGCGUGCGUGUGUGUGUAUAUAUAUGGUCCCAGUUUUACUUAUUAAAAGGUCAGUAUUAUACGUUUAAAAAAAGUUACCGGCUUCUACUGUAUUUUUAAAAAAACAAAAGAGGAAAAAAAAAAGAAGAAGAAGAAGAAGAAGAAGAAAGAAGGAGAGAGAAAGGCGUGUUCUUCUGUCCGUCCCUAACGUUACCUGCUAUUUAUAUUCCAGAACACUUCGCCCGGCGAAGCAGGAAAAAAAAAAAUAUUUUUUUUUUAAAGUACAAAGAGGAGAGGAAAAAAAAAACUUUGUAGAAGGACUUUAAAAAGAAGAAGAUGAUGAUGAUGAUGAUGAUGAUGAUGAAGAAGCUAUUUUCCAUUCUUCGGAAAGUGUACCGGUCUCCUGGGCUCGGAGGAGCCGUAGAGUUCGAUGUUAUUUUAGUUAUUGUAAAUAUAGAGAACAAAUGGAAUGACUAAUCGUUGUAAAUUAAGAGUAUCUGCUAUUUAUUCUUUAUAAUAUCCCUUGUAGUAAAGGAGAGAAAGAGAGAGAGACGGCAGAACUGAAGUAAACCACUAAAAUCUGAUUGAGCGCCUCGUCGUGCCGUCUAUUUUGUUCUUUGCAGGGGGG